rnacentral:rRNA from 1 species
GACGAACGCUGGCGGCGUGCUUAACACAUGCAAGUCGAACGGAAAGGCCCUGCUUUUGUUGGGUGCUCGAGUGGCGAACGGGUGAGUAACACGUGAGUAACCUGCCCUUGACUUUGGGAUAACUUUAGGAAACUGGGGCUAAUACCGGAUAGGAGCUCCUGCUGCAUGGUGGGGGUUGGAAAGUUUCGGCGGUUGGGGAUGGACUCGCGGCUUAUCAGCUUGUUGGUGGGGUAGUGGCUUACCAAGGCUUUGACGGGUAGCCGGCCUGAGAGGGUGACCGGCCACAUUGGGACUGAGAUACGGCCCAGACUCCUACGGGAGGCAGCAGUGGGGAAUAUUGCACAAUGGGCGGAAGCCUGAUGCAGCAACGCCGCGUGCGGGAUGACGGCCUUCGGGUUGUAAACCGCUUUCGCCUGUGACGAAGCGUGAGUGACGGUAAUGGGUAAAGAAGCACCGGCUAACUACGUG